GAAAAUGAGAGUUUGAUCCUGGCUCAGGACGAACGCUGGCGGCGUGCCUAAUACAUGCAAGUCGAGCGAGCUUGCCUAGAUGAAUUUGGUGCUUGCACCAGAUGAAACUAGAUACAAGCGAGCGGCGGACGGGUGAGUAACACGUGGGUAACCUGCCCAAGAGACUGGGAUAACACCUGGAAACAGAUGCUAAUACCGGAUAACAACACUAGACGCAUGUCUAGAGUUUAAAAGAUGGUUCUGCUAUCACUCUUGGAUGGACCUGCGGUGCAUUAGCUAGUUGGUAAGGCAACGGCUUACCAAGGCAAUGAUGCAUAGCCG
rnacentral:rRNA from 1 species